rnacentral:rRNA from 1 species
CACGUAGGCGGACUAUUAAGUCGAGGGUGAAAUCCCGGGGCUCAACCCCGGAACGGCCUUCGAUACUGGUAGUCUUGAGUUCGAGAGAGGUGAGUGGAAUUCCGAGUGUAGAGGUGAAAUUCGUAGAUAUUCGGAGGAACACCAGUGGCGAAGGCGGCUCACUGGCUCGAUACUGACGCUGAGGUGCGAAAGUGUGGGGAGCAAACAGGAUUAGAUACCCUGGUAGUCC